UUGAGAUUAACUGUUCAAAGGAUGUAAAGGUUCAAGGCAUCAUUGGACCUUGUACUUCCCUGGAGAAGAAAAGUCCUUUGUCUUCAGACACUGUUAUUUGUCAAGGAAACACUAGCGCUUGGAAGAUGUGCGGUCUUGACAGAAAAACAUCACUUUGCUUUGUAUAUGAUAUUGCAAAAAAAGAUGGCCCAGAUUCAAUUGGUCAAUCAACAAGCAAUCAGUUUUACUUUCAAUUCUUAACCUACUAUCAGCACAAUGAGGGUCAGAUGAGAUUAAGAUCAACCACAAUAUCCAGAAGAUGGGUCUCUGGCGCGGAUAAUGUCGAG